rnacentral:lncRNA from 1 species
UUAAAUAUAUUUUACAGAUAAGGAAAUUGAGGUUCAUAGAGAUAAAGAAACAAACACGGGGGAGUUUGGGAAUUAUUUCCUUCUUUCCUUCCUUCCUUCCUUCCUUCCUUCCUUCCUUCCUUCCUUCCCUCCCUCCCUUCCUUCCUCCCUUCCUUUCCUCCUCCCUUCCCUCCUCCCUCCUCCCUCCCUCCUUCCUCCUCCUUCCCUCCCUCCUUCCUCUCCUUCCCUCCCUCCUUCCUCCUCCUUCCUUCCUCCCUCCUUCCUUCUUCCUUCCUUCUUCCUUCUUUCCUUCCUUCCUUCCUUCCUUUCUUUCCCUCCUUGGAAAAUAUCUUUCAGGGCUCUAUUUUCUCUUGAUUGGAAAAUGCCCAGCACCCAAACACACCUCCUCCUUGGCAUCCCGUCAUUUUUCUUUUAAAAUUUCUUAGCUGUGAUGAAUCUGAUGCAGCCAGCCUCAUGGCUUCUGGCUUCUCUCCUUUCAGUCUGACCCAACAGUAGCUACCAGAGAGGUCUCCCUAAAAGACAAAAUGACCAAGCCUUUCCCCUGCUUAGAACCUGCCCUGGCUUCCCAUUCCUUUUACAGUAAAGUGCAAACUGCACACCGUGAUCCAGGCCCUGCUGACUCACCUGCUGAGAAUCCCCUCAUUCUUCAGACACUUGGGUUAGUUCUUUAGGGCGUCAUUCCACAGGUCGCUUUAUGCUCCUUACAAUAUAGUAUCCCUUUGCCCCGACACCCUUCUGGCUCUUGACAGCCUGAUGGACUUCUAGUCUUUUUCCACCACUGCUCUCAAAUACGCAGAGCUGCUUCUAGUCAUAUACCUGUAUGUGAUGGAGAGAAGCAGAAAGAGAGGUAGGGGUAGAAAGAAUGGGAGGGAGAGAGGGAGGGAGACAGAGAAGAGAGGAUAGGAGGGAGAAAGGAAGGUAGGAAGACAAAGGGGUGAAGAGAAAGACAGAAGAGGGGAGAGGAGGAGAGGGGAGGGGAUAAGAGGGAUAAAGAAAGAGAGGAAGAGAGACAAGCAGAGAGAGAUGGGAAGGCUGAGAGAGAGAGUAAGGGAAGAGAGGGGAGGGGAGGGGAAAAGAAAGAAGGGAAGGAGAGAGGAGACAGAUGGGGAGGAAGAGAGGAAAAUAGAAGGAGAUAUCUAAAAUGAUAUUUGCCCCCCCAAAUGUUAAGUGAUUAUCCUUGGGGGGAAGAACUUUGGAAGUUACACUUUCAAUUUUGUUUUUUAAAAUUGUUUGUAUUUUUAGUCCACUUACAGAUACACUUUUUCCAAACAGCAUACAACGACAAGAAAGUAACAUUCAAAUAUUACCAGAUCACUUCAGCUGUGAAUUCUUUUCAGGACCCCCCUUUUUUCUUCCAGAAUUAUGCACAUCUUCCCUUCCGCCCACCCGCCCCAAAUGGAGGGGUGUAGCUGGCCACCUGGGAGUUGUUGAAAGACAGGAAGAUCAGUGCCUUAUCUUCCUGGUCUCCAGUGUCCUGCACUGAACCCGGCCAGGACAGGCUGGGCCUUGUAAAUACUGGUUUAAUGACGAGAGGCAGGAAACUCAUUAUAACACCAUGCAUUGUCCAGGUUAAAUAAUGGAAAGGAUUAUUACAGCAAUGAUGCUGCAAUAUACUCUCAAUUAGCCAUGACAAUGAGGAGCAUGGGGACAGCUCAUGCCACCAAGCUGGGGAUCAUCAAAAGGCAAUUUUCCCUUCUGUGGACCACCAUGCCAUCUUUGUGUUUUAGUUACUGGUGAUUCCCUAUGCAUACACCAUCCCCCACGCCCACAUACAUACACCUUUUUUCUUUUUCUUUUUAGGGCAGGGGCACUGACUCAAAUCUCAAUCAUAUCUGGUUGGAGUUGAUCAUGAAACCAGCUAGUUUCUUAACACAGAUGAUGAACCACCAGUGAGCAGCUGUUCUCAAAGCGUGGACCCCAUAUUUGCCACCUCGGCAUUGUUGCCUGAGAACUUGUUAGAAAGGCACAUUUUGAGGUCCACUUCUGAAUCAGAAUCUUUAGGUUGGUGUUCAGAAAUCUACACUCCCACAAGUCUUUCAGGCGAUUCUGAUGCAUGCUCAAGCUUAAGGAUCAUUGGCCCGAAAGGGGACUCAGUUGCUUGGGUUCCAUUUCUGGCUGUGCUGCUUGUUGGCUGUCCCAUCUCUGGCAAGUCCCCUCACCUCUUCAUGUCUCUGCGUCCUCAUCUGUAAUAUAGGCACAUCCACAGUGCCCAUCUCAUGGGGUGUGUCAGGAUUGGCGAAGAGCAGUCAAAUAGCACUCACACUUAGUCCCAGCAGAUGCUACCUGGUACCAUAUUUCAUGGAGUAGAAGCUGCCUUUGAUCAUCAGACUUAUCCAGAAUUCACAUAGUAAAUGUAGGGCAUAAGUUUGCCUUAAAACAGUAUUUCUCAAACUUCAGUGUACACACAAAUCACCUGGGAAUGUUGUUAAAAGGUAGACUCUGAUUCAGCAGGGCUGAGGCCACAGACACUGCAUUCUUAGCAAGCUCUCAUGUGGGAGGAUGCUGCUGGUCCCUGGAUCACACUUUUGUUGUAUGGAUUGGAUCCAGCACCAGCACCUUUGUGUACGGAUUGGAUCUCACAGUGGGCUCACAUGAUGUGCUGGCAAUGGUCAUGGACUGGUCCUGGGAGAGGGUGGUGGAACAGGAUGUGGUUCAUUUUGCUCAUUCCUCUCUGGCCAAAGGACAGCAAGCAUUGGCAUAAGAACUGGAGACAUGGUUUGAGCUCCUUGUAAGCCCACUCACUGGCCUAAAGGAAGCCCUUUGAUCUCAGCAUCCUCAUUUGCCAAAUAGACCACCCAAUGCCCACCAAGUCCAUUCUAAGGGCAAGUGGGGAAAAUCAAAUACCCAUGUUCUCAGUGAGUGAAUUAACGACACAUCUUUCCUUGGGACCAUGGUUUUUCCAGAGUUUAAAAAUAAUGAAAUGAUGUGGAUAUUUAAACGCAUCAGGACAAGGCAUUGCUGGUGAAGUUGGCUAAUUAUUACAUUACUAUAUGAUCAUCAUCAGUGUGAGUGAUAAGCCCUGCACUGUGAUUCUCUUUUGAGCACCAGCCCUGGGAAUAACCAGUCCUUACAAUCACCCUGGAAUUCUGACAGUUCCAGGGGACACCUGUCAGGCCACCCUCCUGGGUGGGCUUAGCAUACUGAGGGCCAUGCAGAGGGAGCCCCGGUUUUAUCCUCAAAGCCUCCUUACUAUAACCAUCAUCUUUGCAGCCACUCUCUGAUUUCAAGGCACUGCUCACUUCCAAGGGGACAUGACAGGGCUGGAGAGAGAAGGGGUCAUACACCGCUCAUUUCCAGAAUGAACAAAGAACACUUAUGAAGGAGAGAAAAAAUGCCUCUUGACCACCUCCAAUAUGUGUGUGCACAAAUACACACACAAACACACACAUACACACAUGCGUGCACAUGCACAUACAUACAUGUGCACACAUGGGCAUACACACACACACACACACAGAGGCUGCCCCAGCCUGCAUGUCACCAUCAAUCAGCGGCUUCCCACUUGCUGUUUGCAGGCAGAGUUCCCUACAGAUGUGCUCGGGGGGCUGGGAGAAGGAGAAGAAGGUGGAGCUGGGGCUAGGGAGGGAGGGAGGCAGAGAUGUCCUCAAAGAGUUAAAACCUUGCCUCACCAGACUGCGAAUCCUCCUCGACUCUCCCCCACCUCCAUCCCCCUCAAUCCAGCCAAACAACAGCUUGACAUUUUCCAUCCUUCACGAAAAAGACAAAGACGGGAAGAUAUUCCCAUGAUCCCUUUCUGCAUGCCUAACCGUGAGCUCAGGUGCUGUAGCGUUUGCCCCGCGCCGGCCCCAUCAACAUGAAGGGCGAACUCAUCCUUUCUGCAUCUUUUUCUCGCCACUGCUUGAUUAAUUGGCUGACUACUACGCCGGCGGAAUACCUAAUGCCUUUCCUUCCCCUAUUCUUCCUUCACAGUUUUUUUUUCCUCCUUUGCUCCAUUUACAUAUACUUUAUAUUCCAUAAUUUUCACCCAAAAAGAAAAAAAAAAAAAAGGGCCCAUCUCAGUAAUUUGAUGUAAUGACGGCAUGUCACCAAAAAGAGGAAUUAGAAAAAUCUGUAGGUAUUUAAUUUAUUCUUGUUUUUUUUUUUUUUUUUUUUUUUUUUUUGAAGUAGAGCUCUCUGAGAAAAGCAUUAAUAUUCAUGGGCAAGAGAAAAAAGUAUACUCAAUAGGAAAAUUCCAGAUUUUUUAGGGGUGGGGAGGCAGCUAAAUUCAAUGCAUUUUUAAGCACCAUUAUUUAACUAAUAGUGCCUGAGUCCCUCUGGCCCUAGUUCCUCCCUUUCAAUGAAAAUAAGUGGGUUUUAGUUUGCCUUCAAGGGUUGUGUCUGUUGCGCUCACACCCAUGCUGUUGAAGCAGGAAAGCUGGGUUCUGUGUUUUCCUCCCCUCCUGGGAGGACUCAAAUGAAGAAGAAAAACAUAAAUAAAGGCCUUUCAGAGUCCCAGGGCUGGAGUUUUGGUUCUCCUUCAGCCUCCCCUGUUGGCUGUCAUAGUUUUCUGAUGGCUGUACAGACAGAACAAUUUCCUUGAGGUUUUCUGCUAGACCACCCCCUUCCCGUUAACUUGGGUUUGGGUUUUGUGCUAUUAAUUAACUACUUACUUAUCAAAGUAAGUGUUGAGUUAUACCAUAAUCAUGAUCGUUACCAAUGAAGCAGGAAAUAAAAUAACGAAGCAUCAGACAGAUGCCAUAAAUGUGAGACCUGAGACCCAGAAUGGGAGCAGUCUUUCUCUCUCCAAGGCAGGUCUUUCCAAAGGGUCCCAGGGUGUGUGGUUCUCCUAGUAACAGUGAUAAGUUUGAGGCAUCUGAGUAUUUGACUCAGUCUAGUAGGAAGAUGAGUUCUCAGCCAUGGGGACCUAAAUGCUCACCUUCAUCUUAAUCAGUGGGAUCGGAAACAUGUAUGAGUUUAUGGGCCCCGAGUCUAAAUCAUUUGCCAAUUGUGAUAAUAAAAAUUAUUAUUAGCAUAAUGAUUAUAAUAAGCAACUCUAUGUACUAUUAUUUUUUCUUUAUUUUUAAAUGGGGUUAUAACUUACAGUAAGCUGCACGAAUCUUACGUGCAGCUUGAUGAAUAUUUUACCCAUGUUUGUACUUUACCCA